rfam:Idiomarina salinarum strain ISL-52 contig4, whole genome shotgun sequence.
CGUGUGGUAUUCGGCAUAAGAUCGGAUGGCGAUGCGGCCCAAUUGAGGU